rnacentral:rRNA from 1 species
AGAAUAAGCAUCGGCUAACUCCGUGCCAGCAGCCUCGGUAAGACGGAGGAUGCAAGUGUUAUCCGGAAUCACUGGGCGUGAAAAA